rnacentral:rRNA from 1 species
AGUGAACGCUGGCGGUAUGCCUAACACAUGCAAGUCGAACGGCAGCACAGUAAGAGCUUGCUCUUACGGGUGGCGAGUGGCGGACGGGUGAGGAAUACAUCGGAAUCUACUUUUUCGUGGGGGAUAACGUAGGGAAACUUACUCUAAUACCGCAUACGACCUACGGGUGAAAGCAGGGGAUCUUCUGACCUUGCGCGAUUGAAUGAGCCGAUGUCGGAUUAGCUAGUUGGCGGGGUAAAGGCCCACCAAGGCGACGAUCCGUAGCUGGUCUGAGAGGAUGAUCAGACACACUGGAACUGAGAAACGGUACAGACUCCUACGGGAGGCAGCAGUGGGGAAUAUUGGACGAUGGGCGAAAGCCUGAUCCAGCAAUACCGCGUGGGUGAAGAAGGACUUCGGGUUGUAAAGCCAUUUUGGUGGGAAAGAAAAGCAGCAGGUUAAUACCCCGCUGUUAUGACGGUACCCAAAGAAUAAGCACCGGCUAACUUCGUG